rfam:Nostoc sp. NIES-3756 DNA, complete genome.
CAUCCAUGCUAGGGGUGCUUGCACCGACAGGCUGAGAUCACACCCUUAACACCUGAGUCUGGGUAAUACCAGCGAAGGGAAGCUGUUUAUUGAGGAA